rnacentral:rRNA from 1 species
CACGUAGGGGGCAAGCGUUGUCCGGAUUCAUUGGGCGUAAAGAGCUCGUAGGCGGUUCGAUAAGUCGGGUGUGAAACCUCCAGGCUCAACCUGGAGACGCCACCCGAUACUGUCGUGACUUGAGUCCGGUAGGGGAGCGUGGAAUUCCUGGUGUAGCGGUGAAAUGCGCAGAUAUCAGGAGGAACACCAGCGGCGAAGGCGGCGCUCUGGGCCGGAACUGACGCUGAGGAGCGAAAGCGUGGGUAGCAAACAGG